UACGGGGGGGGCAAGCGUUGUUCGGAAUUACUGGGCGUAAAGGGCGCGUAGGCGGCCUUCUAAGUCGAACGUGAAAUCCCCGGGCUCAACCCGGGAACUGCGUCCGAUACUGAAAGGCUUGAAUCCGGGAGAGGGAUGCGGAAUUCCAGGUGUAGCGGUGAAAUGCGUAGAUAUCUGGAGGAACACCGGUGGCGAAGGCGGCAUCCUGGACCGGCAUUGACGCUGAGGCGCGAAAGCCAGGGGAGCAAACGGG
rnacentral:rRNA from 1 species